GAAUUCGCCCUUAGAGUUUGCUUUUGGCUCAGGACGAACGCUGGCGGCGUGCCUAACACAUGCAAGUCGAGCGGAGCCAACCGACGGAGACCUUCGGGUCGAAGACGGGGAAGCUUAGCGGCGGACGGGUGAGUAACGCGUGAGUAACCUGCCCUUGAGAGGGGAAUAACACACCGAAAGGUGUGCUAAUACCGCAUGAUAUGCCAUUGUCGCAUGACGAUAGCAUCAAAGAUUUAUCGCUCAAGGAUGGACUCGCGUCUGAUUAGAUAGUAGGUAGGGUAACGGCCUACCUAGUCGACGAUCAGUAGCCGAACUGAGAGGUUGAUCGGCCACAUUGGGACUGAGACACGGCCCAGACUCCUACGGGAGGCAGCAGUGGGGAAUAUUGCGCAAUGGGGGGAACCCUGACGCAGCAACGCCGCGUGCAGGAAGAAGGUCUUCGGAUUGUAAACUGUUGUCGCAAGGGAAGAAGACAGUGACGGUACCUUGUGAGAAAGUCACGGCUAACUACGUGCCAGCAGCCGCGGUAAUACGUAGGUGACAAGCGUUGUCCGGAUUUACUGGGUGUAAAGGGCGUGUAGGCGGGAUAGCAAGUCAGUCGUGAAAUACCGAGGCUCAACCUCGGGGCUGCGAUUGAAACUGUUAUUCUUGAGUAUCGGAGAGGAAAGCGGAAUUCCCAGUGUAGCGGUGAAAUGCGUAGAGAUCGGUAGGAACACCAGUGGCGAAGGCGGCUUUCUGGACUGAAACUGACGCUGAGGCGCGAAAGCGUGGGGAGCAAACAGGAUUAGAUACCCUGGUAGUCCACGCGGUAAACGAUGAAUACUAGGUGUGGGAGGACUGACCCCUUCCGUGCCGCAGUUAACACAAUAAGUAUUCCACCUGGGGAGUGCGACCGCAAGGUUGAAACUCAAAGGAAUUGACGGGGGCCCGCACAAGCAGUGGAUUAUGUGGUUUAAUUUGACGCAACGCGAAGAACCUUACCAGGGUUUGACAUCCAACUAACGAAGUAGAGAUACAUUAGGUGCCCUUCGGGGAAAGUUGAGACAGGUGGUGCAUGGUUGUCGUCAGCUCGUGUCGUGAGAUGUUGGGUUAAGUCCCGCAACGAGCGCAACCCCUAUUGUUAGUUGCUACGCAAGAGCACUCUAGCGAGACUGCCGUUGACAAAACGGAGGAAGGCGGGGACGACGUCAAAUCAUCAUGCCCCUUAUGUCCUGGGCUACACACGUAAUACAAUGGUGGUUAACAGAGGGAAGCAAAACCGCGAGGUGGAGCAAAUCCCUAAAAGUCAUCUCAGUUCGGAUUACAGGCUGCAACUCGCCUGUAUGAAGCUGGAAUUGCUAGUAAUCGCGGAUCAGCAUGCCGCGGUGAAUACAAUCCCGGGCCUUGUACACACCGCCCGUCA
rnacentral:rRNA from 1 species